UCGGUUAGUUUCAAUUUCAAUGGCAGUUUCUUUUUUUUCAAGAAAAUAUUGAAACACGCAACAUCAGUUUUCUGAUCGAACUUGUGUGAACAUUGUUAUUGGGUUCUCUGUUGCAAGACUAUGUUUCCAUAAAUGUUUUUCGCUUGCUAGGGUAAUUUCAAAAUUUUAAUUUCAAUAUAUUUGCAUUCAUACAUAUGUUGGG
rnacentral:lncRNA from 1 species